GUUCAUUCAAAGAUAAGGAAUAGAGAUUAAAGAAUUACACUAUAGUUUAUUUUUCUGUUCAUACAUAAUUUUGCAUAGUAUCUUACAUGGUAUCAGUCGCCUAGUCCUGGUACGUGCUUCCAUUUUCGUGUUAUGGCACCGUCAACAGAUUCUAACUCUGUUGAUCCUAUGAGUCCGUCAUUUUCAAGUGCAUGCUUGGUUCAAUCUUUGCCUCACCAUGACACGUUGAAGCUAGAGGAAGGAAACUUUGUUCAAUGGAAGCAACAUAUCCAGUUGAUAAUAGAAGGAUAUGAGCUGCAAGGAUUCUUGGAGGGCAUGUUGUCUGCUCCACCUCGGUUCGUCGUAUCUCCAGAAGGAGCACUUAUUCCAAAUCCAAAUACAUCUGUGUUUAAUCAACGGGAUAAAUUGUUAACUUCUUGGCUUCUUUCUACAAUUAGUUCAUCGCUUCUGUCAUGUUUUACCUCUGCUAAAUCUGCAUGUGAAAUUUGGAGCACAGUGAAUCAUCUUUUUGCUGCUUCAACUGGUGCAGAAUUUUCUCGUAUUAAACAUGAUCUGCAUUCUAUAAAGUAGGGCAAAUUAACUAUAAAAUAAUAUGUUACAGAAAUAGAAAAUAUUUGUGCGUUACUUGCAGCCUCUGGAUCGGUAGUGUCAGAGGUAGAAGUUGUUUUGGCUGGCCUCUCGUCGGACUUUGAUGCUGUGUUGACUUUGGCCUCAUUCUCGAUGGAGUCUCUUCCUUUUCAGCGUUUAGUCGACGUUCUCUUAGAGUUUGAGAUUCGAUAGAUGCGACUAGUGCGUGAGGUUUCGAUGCAAGCUCAUCUUGUUGAACCACUUUUGGUUGCUGCGGUGGCUGACUCAGAUUUGUCGCGCGAUGUGCAUGGAGGACGUUUGCGUGGGCGUGGUUUCCAGUCGAGAGUGCAGUGUUAGAUCUACAACAGGUUCGGUCAUUUGGCACAGCGCUGUUGCUAUCGCUUUAAUUGCACUUACGACGACCUAAAUGCUUCCAACACGGUGCGAGUUUCCUCUUUUACAUAUAGUGGUCAAGGGCUACAAGGUGGUGUUUAUGGUGGUUCUAGUUCUGGAGAGAAUUUUUUUGAGAGGCUGCACACAGUUUGAAAAUCAGAGUUGGUAUCUGCCGCAAGCUAGGGCUACCUCUG
rnacentral:lncRNA from 1 species